AGCAGGCCGACGGUUAAUACGGUAGGGGUGCGAGUCGUUAAUCGGAAUUACUGGGCGUAAAGCGUGCGCAGGCGGUUUUGUAAGACAGGCGUGAAAUCCCCGGGCUCAACCUGGGAACUGCGCUUGUGACUGCAAGGCUAGAGUACGGCAGAGGGGGGUGGAAUUCCACGUGUAGCAGUGAAAUGCGUAGAGAUGUGGAGGAACACCAAUGGCGAAGGCAGCCCCCUGGGUCGAUACUGACGCUCAUGCACGAAAGCGUGGGUAGCAAACAGGAUUAGAUACCCCUGGUAGUCCACGCCCUAAACGAUGUCAACUAGGUGUUGGGUGGGUAAAACCAUUUAGUACCGUAGCUAACGCGUGAAGUUGACCGCCUGGGGAGUACGGCCGCAAGGUUAAAACUCAAAGGAAUUGACGGG
rnacentral:rRNA from 1 species